rnacentral:rRNA from 1 species
CGGCGGACGGGUGAGUAAUGCAUAGGAAUUUGCCCAGUAGUGGGGGAUAGCCCGGGGAAACCCGGAUUAAUACCGCAUACGCCCUACGGGGGAAAGCAGGGGAUCUUCGGACCUUGCGCUAUUGGAUGAGCCUAUGUCGGAUUAGCUGGUUGGUGGGGUAAAGGCCUACCAAGGCGACGAUCCGUAGCUGGUCUGAGAGGAUGAUCAGCCACAUCGGGACUGAGACACGGCCCGAACUCCUACGGGAGGCAGCAGUGGGGAAUAUUGGACAAUGGGGGCAACCCUGAUCCAGCCAUGCCGCGUGUGUGAAGAAGGCUUUCGGGUUGUAAAGCACUUUCAGUGAGGAGGAAAACCUUAUGGCGAAUACCCAUGAGGCUUGACGUUACUCACAGAAGAAGCACCGGCUAACUCCGUGCCAGCAGCCGCGGUAAUACGGAGGGUGCAAGCGUUAAUCGGAAUUACUGGGCGUAAAGCGCGCGUAGGUGGUUUGAUAAGCGAGAUGUGAAAGCCCCGGGCUUAACCUGGGAACGGCAUUUCGAACUGUCAGGCUAG